UACGUAGGGUGCGAGCGUUGUCCGGAAUUACUGGGCGUAAAGCGUGCGCAGGCGGUGAUGUAAGACAGAUGUGAAAAUCCCCGGGCGUCAACCUGGGAACGUGCCUUUGUUGACUGCAUAGCUAGAGUACGGCAGAGGGGGAGUGAAUUCCGCGUGUAGCAGUGAAAUGCGUAGAUAUGCGGAGGAACACCGAUGGCGAAGGCAAU
rnacentral:rRNA from 1 species